GUAGGUGGCAAGCGUUGUCCGGAAUUAUUGGGCGUAAAGCGCGCGCAGGCGGUCCUUUAAGUCUGAUGUGAAAGCCCACGGCUCAACCGUGGAGGGUCAUUGGAAACUGAGGGACUUGAGUACAGAAGAGGAAAGCGGAAUUCCACGUGUAGCGGUGAAAUGCGUAGAGAUGUGGAGGAACACCAGUGGCGAAGGCGGCUUUCUGGUCUGUAACUGACGCUGAGGCGCGAAAGCGUGGGGAGCAAACAGGAUUAGAUACCCUGGUAGUCCACGCCGUAAGCGAUGAGUGCUAAGUGUUAGGGGGUUUCCCGCCCCUUAGUGCUGCAGCUAACGCAUUAAGCACUCCGCCUGGGAGUACGACCGCAAGGUUG
rnacentral:rRNA from 1 species